GAUGAACGCUGGCGGCGUGCCUAAUACAUGCAAGUCGAGCGAACAGACGAGGAGCUUGCUCCUCUGACGUUAGCGGCGGACGGGUGAGUAACACGUGGAUAACCUACCUAUAAGACUGGGUUAACUUCGGGAAACCGGAGCUAAUACCGGAUAACAUGUUGAACCGCAUGGUUCAACAGUGAAAGACGGUCUUGCUGUCACUUAUAGAUGGAUCCGCGCCGCAUUAGCUAGUUGGUAAGGUAACGGCUUACCAAGGCAACGAUGCGUAGCCGACCUGAGAGGGUGAUCGGCCACACUGGAACUGAGACACGGUCCAGACUCCUACGGGAGGCAGCAGUAGGGAAUCUUCCGCAAUGGGCGAAAGCCUGACGGAGCAACGCCGCGUGAGUGAAGAAGGUCUUCGGAUCGUAAAACUCUGUUAUUAGGGAAGAACAAAUGUGUAAGUAACUAUGCACGUCUUGACGGUACCUAAUCAGAAAGCCACGGCUAACUACGUG
rnacentral:rRNA from 1 species